GGAUAGCUGAACGAAGAUAAAGCAGGCGUCAUUAAUCUUUGAUCGAAAGUUGGAGUAACUUGAUCUGAGAUCUCCAAAGCCCACAUCAUUUCCAGCACCCUGGGGGCUCCACUUUCGCUUACAUUUUCUCCUCAACGCCUAAUCAUCCUAACUUGAUUUCGAUCUAAGAAAAUUGAUAUUUUGCAAUAGCAAUUUGCAAUUUUCUAUAAAAACAGGAUUCCAACACCCACGGGGAUAUAAGUUUGAUGGUCAUUGUGACAAUGGAUAAGCCAAGCAGUGCAGCAAGCACACUGGGUUACUUUGAAAAAUAAUUUAAAUGGCGGUGAACGACCAAAAUUUGACCAAGACGAAUUAAAGACGUGGCUCUGCAUCUCGCAGCUUUAUGGACCCUGGAAUCUAAUUCAUAUUAACCUCCUAAAAUAGGGCUCCAUUCAUUUCGAGGAUGACUUGCGGGAUCUGCUGUUUCAUCCGGAGCGGUAUACUGGCUGUCGUGGAGUGUCUGCGCACCGAAUCUGGAAGAGCAUCUAUCUGUUGUCCGAGUUAAAGGACUUCCUCCACCCACGUUAUGGUGUUUGGUUACCCAGUUUGGUUACCCACGUUUGGUUACCCACGUUUGGUUACCCAGUUACGCUCCAUCUCGCACUCAAAUCCGAAGACUGCGAGACAUUCCAAUAUUCAUUCCACUGAUCCCAUUUACCAGACAUCUCUUCUAUGACAAAAUAUGGCAAAAACCAUACUAUUGACAAGUGAAAACAAGGCAGAUAAUGAAUAGAUAUUAAAAAAUAAUACAUUUGGCUCUGCAAAACCUUUUA